AGGACAGAACGCAGACCACUCACCAUGGAGUUUGGGCUCAGCUGGGUUUUCCUUCUUGCUAUUUUAAGAGGUGUCCAGUGUGAUGUGCAACUGGUGGAGUCUGGUGGAGGCCAGGUGCAGCCUGGGAGGUCUCUAAGACUCUCCUGUAGAGCCAGUGGUUUCAAUUUUGGUGACUAUAGCAUGCACUGGGUCCGCCAGGUGCCAGGGAAGAGGCUGGAGUGGGUCUCAUACAUUAAUUGGGAUAGUAGUAGCAUAUAUUACACCAACUCUGUGGAGGGCCGAUUCACCACCUCCAGAGACAACAGCAAGAACACACUCUACCUGCAAACGAACAGCCUGAGAGCUGAGGACACGGCUGUUUAUUACUGUGCUAGACACACAGUGAUGAGAAGUCAGUGUGUCCAGUGUGAGGUGCAGCUGAUAGAGUCUUGUAGAGACCUGGUGCAGCCUGGGGGUCUCUGA